UUUUUACACUCAGGUCACAGCCGCAAAUAGACGGGGAUUUCCCUGCUGGAGAUAUUAACUGUUUAUUCCCGUUUGUCUCACCCUUUGUGUUGGUCAGAGUAGAAGAAAGUUGUGUGUAUUAAAUCUGUUCCUAUAACAACAUUAUGAUGUCUGAUAUGACACUUCAACAGACUGUCAACUACCAGAGUCUUAAUUUCCACCACUCUUGUAAUGUACAAAUAGGUGAACACAACAAAAUACACAAUCAUCAGGCUAACCAACUAAAAGAAGAUGUUGAAAAAAUGAAGAAUGAGAUACAACAACUCAAGUUGGACAAUCAGAAUCAAGCUGAGAAGAUACAAAAACUCCAAUCAGACAAACAGAACCAAGCUUAUAAGAUACAGAGCCAUGCUAACGAGAUACAGAAACUCAAGUCAGACAUUCUUCAUCACCAAUCAGACAAACAGAGUCAAGCUGACAAGAUACAACUCCUUGAAUCAUUGGUUGAAGUUAUGAAAGAGAAAACAGAUAAAACUAUAACUAAAGAAAAGGAUGAUAGGAUAACUCUUAAUGUAGACUUUGUUGUGUAUGAUAAGAUGACUAUAAGUGUUAGUAAAGAUAAAACAGUAAGACAAGUAGAAGAGAUGAUACAGGAGAAGUUAAGAAGGAAGUGUGAUAGAAAUGUUGUUGGUUAUAUCUAUAGCGUAAAACAGAAGAAGAACGUCUACGAUCGUUACAACCGCUACAACCAAGAUAGAUCAUUAAAAGAUUAUGGUGUAGAGGAUGGUGAUAUAGUCCACUGGUGGGAGUAUUGAGUUAUGUUGUACACGAUGGGGAAUGUAGUCUGGUUGAUUAAACUGAGUUAGAAUGGUAUUACAAUCAUAUAUACUAUAAAACAAUAUUAAUCAUUCAACUUGAACAUUAUUAUUAUGGUGGUGUUUUAGUGACAUUAUUAAAAUAUUAAAACAUACUAACUAUAAAAUAGUUUUACCAUAAUCAUGUGAUCAGUUGAGAAACCACAGAAGAGAACAAUCUCAAAACAAAAACUGUUUGAUGAAACAAGGAGAAAGUUAUUUUCAGAGUUUACAAGAUGCACAAUUAAUUUUUUUAUAAACCAUAAUUGUGGACAUAGCACUUUGUAGUUGAUUUACCCUAGAAAUAAAGGACCUAUCUUAUUAAAUGUUUUAUUGGUGAAGC